GUCGCCGUCGCUGCCGCGUCGAGCUGCGAGAGCGCUUCGUCACGAUUUGUACCGUAGAUAUGCCGUGUACCUUUGAUCUGCACACAAAUACAAAAGAAUUUGUUGGCCCGACUUCAUUCCUACAAAACUCGACGCUGAAACAGCAAUCGUGACCGUAGAUGACACGAAUGACUUGCAAAUUUCGCAGCUUGCUCGCCUCGACGCACGUAAUCGAACAACUCGUACAUGUAUGGUCAUAUUAUUUUAUAUAUACGCAAUACAUGUCUGAGAACACGUUCUCCGAAUUCAGCUGUAUACACAAAACAAAAAAUCGUUUUGCAUAUACGACUUCAAACGUCUAUUAACAAUUUCUAUAAUUAAAAUAAUAAAUAUUCAGACAAUAUUUGCACUUAGAAAAAUAUCCACAACAUUCUAUAAUUUUUAUAGAAAAAUAAAAUGUUUAGGUAAUACAUAUUCUAUGGAUAGAAUAUGUAUGAACGUAUAUGAUCUAGGUAUAAACUAAUAUUUGAUUUCUAACCUGUUUAUAGUACGUGAUCUAAAUAUUGAAAAAUUGUUUUCAAUAUUUUAAAGUCUUGUUUUCCCGAAAGAGAUAAACAUAAGUUUUUACAUGCAUAAAACAUAACGAACAAAUAACGAGCAAAUUAACAUAUUUCUUCAAUUGUCUUCAGAAAAUAUAUGUAUAUUGUUACCUA